GUCUUUUUGUUUAAAAUUUAAAGUCUGGUCUGCCCUCUGAAGAGAAUUGAAUGGCCGCGGUAUUUUGACCGUGCUAAGGUAGCAUAAUCAUUAGUUUUUUAAUUGAAAGCUGGAAUGAAGGGCUGAAUGAAAAAAGAACUGUCUCUAAUUAAUUAUUUUAGAACUUUAUUUUUAAGUUAAAAAGCUUAAAUAUUAUUAAAAGACGAGAAGACCCUAUAGAGUUUUAUAAAAAUUUAUAAUAUAAGAAAUUUAGAAUUUAUUUUUUUAUUUUUAUAUUUUUAUUUGAUUGGGGUGAUUAAAAAAUUUAAUAAACUUUUUUUAUUUAAUUAUAUUAAUUAAUAGAUAAUUGAUCCAAAAUUUUUGAUUAAAAGAUAAAAUUACCUUAGGGAUAACAGCGUAAUUUUAUUAGAGAGUUCAAAUCGAUAAUAAAGUUUGCGACCUCGAUGUUGGAUUAAAAUUUAUAAUUGGUGCAGAAGCUAUAUUAUUGAGUCUGUUCGACUCUUAAAAUUUUACA
rnacentral:rRNA from 1 species